GGUAAUGCCGGAUGCUCCAUCAUACCGCAUGGUGUGUUGGGAAAGCCUUUGCGGCAUGGGAUGGGGUCGCGUCCUAUCAGCUUGAUGGCGGGGUAACGGCCCACCAUGGCUUCGACGGGUAGCCGGCCUGAGAGGGCGACCGGCCACAUUGGGACUGAGAUACGGCCCAGACUCCUACGGGAGGCAGCAGUGGGGAAUAUUGCACAAUGGGCGCAAGCCUGAUGCAGCGACGCCGCGUGAGGGAUGGAGGCCUUCGGGUUGUAAACCUCUUUUGUUAGGGAGCAAGGCAUUUUGUGUUGAGUGUACCUUUCGAAUAAGCACCGGCUAACUACGUGCCAGCAGCCGCGGUAAUACGUAGGGUGCAAGCGUUAUCCGGAAUUAUUGGGCGUAAAGGGCUCGUAGGCGGUUCGUCGCGUCCGGUGUGAAAGUCCAUCGCUUAACGGUGGAUCCGCGCCGGGUACGGGCGGGCUUGAGUGCGGUAGGGGAGACUGGAAUUCCCGGUGUAACGGUGGAAUGUGUAGAUAUCGGA
rnacentral:rRNA from 1 species